CCUACGGGAGGCAGCAGUGGGGAAUAUUGCACAAUGGGCGAAAGCCUGAUGCAGCGACGCCGCGUGAGUGAAGAAGUAUUUCGGUAUGUAAAGCUCUAUCAGCAGGGAAGAAAAUGACGGUACCUGAUUAAGAAGCCCCGGCUAAUUACGUGCCAGCAGCCGCGGUAAU
rnacentral:rRNA from 1 species